CAUGCCGCGUGAGUGAUGAAGGCCCUAGGGUCGUAAAGCUCUUUCGCCUGAGAAGAUAAUGACUGUAGCAGGUAUAGAAACCCCGGCUAACUCCGUGCCAGCAGCCGCGGUAAUACGGAGGGCGUUAGCGCUUGUUCGGAAUUACUGGGCGUAAAGCGCGCGUUAGGCGGACUGGAAAGUUGGCGGUGAAAUCCCAGGGCUCAACCCUGGAACUGCCUCCAAAACUAUCAGUCUAGAGUUCGAGAGAGGUGAGUGAGAAUUCCGAGUGUUAGAGGUGAAAUUCGUAGAUAUUCGGAGGAACCCAGUGGCGAAGGCGGCUCACUGGCUCGAUACUGACGCUGAGGUGCGAAAGUGUGGGGAGCAAACAGGAUUAGAUACCCUGGUAGUCCACACCGUAAACGAUGAAUGCCAGUCGUCGGGUAGCAAGCUAUUCGGUGACACACCUAACGGAUUAAGCAUUCCGCCUGGGGAGUACGGUCGCUAGAUUAAAACUCAAAGGAAUU
rnacentral:rRNA from 1 species